AGUGAACGCUGGCGGCGUGCUUAACACAUGCAAGUCGAACGAGAACGGGUUAUAGCUUGCUAUAAUUGUCAGCUAAGUGGCGCACGGGUGAGUAAUGUAUAGGUAAUAUGCCUCUUACUAAGGGAUAACAAAUGGAAACGUUUGCUAAUACCUUAUACUCCUUAUUAACAUAAGUUAAUAAGGGAAAGAUUUAUUGGUAAGAGAUUAGCCUGUAUUGUAUCAGUUAGUUGGUGGGGUAAUGGCUUACCAAGACUAUGACACAUAACUGGUUUGAGAGGAUGAUCAGUCACACUGGAACUGAGACACGGUCCAGACUCCUACGGGAGGCAGCAGUGGGGAGUAUUGCACAAUGGACGAAAGUCUGAUGCAGCAACGCCGCGUGGAGGAUGACACAUUUCGGUGCGUAAACUCCUUUUAUAUGAGAAGAUAAUGACGGUAUUAUAUGAAUAAGCACCGGCUAACUCCGUGCCAGCCGCCGCUGUAACAC
rnacentral:rRNA from 1 species